UACGUAGGGUGCAAGCGUUAAUCGGAAUUACUGGGCGUAAAGCGUGCGCAGGCGGUUUUGUAAGACAGAGGUGAAAUCCCCCGGGCUCAACCUGGGGAACUGCCUUUGUGACUGCAAGGCUUGAGUGCGGCAGAGGGGGGAUGGAAUUCCGCGUGUAGCAGUGAAAUGCGUAGAUAUGCGGAGGAACACCGAUGGCGAAGGCAGUCCCCUGGGCCUGUACUGACGCUCAUGCACGAAAGCGUGGGGAGCAAACAGG
rnacentral:rRNA from 1 species